rnacentral:rRNA from 1 species
AAAGCGUGCGCAGGCGGUUUUGUAAGACUGUCGUGAAAUCCCCGGGCUCAACCUGGGAAUGGCGAUGGUGACUGCAUGGCUAGAGUUUGGCAGAGGGGGGUAGAAUUCCACGUGUAGCAGUGAAAUGCGUAGAUAUGUGGAGGAACACCGAUGGCGAAGGCAGCCCCCUGGGUCAAAACUGACGCUCAUGCACGAAAGCGUGGGGAGCAAACAGGAUUAGAUACCCGUGU